rnacentral:rRNA from 1 species
ACCGUAGUAAUUCUAGAGCUAAUACGUGCUAAAUACUCCAACUUCGCGGAAGGAGUGCAUAUGUUAGGGAAAAAAUCAAUGCGGUGGGGCAACUCAUCGCUUUCUGUUGAUUCAUGAUAUCGUUGCGGAUCGCAAGGCCUUGAGCCUGCGACGAUUCAUUCAAAUUUCUGCCCUAUCAACUUUCGAUGGUAGUGUAUUGGACUACCAUGGUGAUAACGGGUAACGGGGAAUUAGGGUUCGAUUCCGGAGAGGGAGCCUGAGAGAUGGCUACCACUUCCAAGGAAGGCAGCAGGCGCGCAAAUUACCCAAUCUCAAUACGAGGAGGUAGUGACAAUAAAUAACAAUACAGGUCUCGACAAGAGUCUUGUAAUUGGAAUGAGUACAAUUUAAACCCCUUAACGAGGAACAAUUGGAGGGCAAGUCUGGUGCCAGCAGCCGCGGUAAUUCCAGCUCCAAUAGCGUAUAUUAAAGUUGUUGCAGUUAAAAAGCUCGUAGUUGGAUUUUGGGGACGUACGGAGACUGGUCUGCCUUCACAGGUGUGUACUGUCUUCGCGUCUCUUCCGUCUGGUUUGCUCCAGUCUGCUCUUAAUUGAGUGGGUUGGUAGCUCCAGACCGUUUACUUUGAAGAAAUUAGAGUGUUUAAAGCAGGCCUGAGUGCUGUGAAUACAUUAGCAUGGGAUAAUAGAAUAGGAUUGUGCGCCUAUUUUGUUGGUUUCUAGGUGUGCAGUAAUGAUUAAUAGAGAUAGUUGGGGACAUUCAUAUUCCGUGGUCAGAGGUGAAAUUCUUGGAUUCACGAAAGAUGAACUAAUGCGAAAGCAUCUGUCAAGGAUGUUUUCAUUGAUCAAGAACGAAAGUUAGGGGAUCGAAGACGAUCAGAUACCGUCGUAGUCUUAACCAUAAACGAUGCCGACCAGGGAUUAGGAGACGUUACGUGGAUGACUCUCCCAGCACCUUACGAGAAAUCAUAAGUCUUUGGGUUCCGGGGGGAGUAUGGUCGCAAGGCUGAAACUUAAAGGAAUUGACGGAAGGGCACCACCAGGAGUGGAGCCUGCGGCUUAAUUUGACCCAACACGGGGAAACUCACCAGGUCCAGACAUAGUAAGGAUUGACAGAUUGAGAGCUCUUUCUUGAUUCUAUGGGUGGUGGUGCAUGGCCGUUCUUAGUUGGUGGAGUGAUUUGUCUGGUUAAUUCCGAUAACGAACGAGACCUCAGCCUGCUAAAUAGGAGGCAUAACCUUCUGCUUGGGUGAAGCUCUUACUGUCGGGUUGGUUCGCCAAUUCGCAGUGGGGGGGGAUCCUUGACGAGUUGUGUUCUUACUUCUUAGAGGGACUAUUCGCGUUUAGUGAAUGGAAGUUUGAGGCAAUAACAGGUCUGUGAUGCCCUUAGAUGUUCUGGGCUGCACGCGCGCUACAAUGACUGUCUCAACGAGUAAUUAUCCUUGGCCGAUAGGUCUGGGUAAUCUUUUGAACGAUAGUCGUGAUGGGGAUUGACUAUUGUAAUUAUUAGUCUUCAACGAGGAAUUCCUAGUAAGUGCAGUUCAUCAGACUGCGCUGAUUACGUCCCUGCCCUUUGUACACACCGCCCGUCGCUCCUACCGAUUGAAUGAUCCGGUGAUAUCUUGGGAGGAUGAGGAUCAGGUUACGGGGCAACUCGUAACCUACCUUGACCAAACUUGAGUAAACCUUAUCAUUUAGAGGAAGGAGAAGUCGUAACAAGGUU